CUGUUUAUAAGUAGCUAUUCUCUCUGUUUUGGUGGGACAAACAUCCUACCUUAGUGUAUUUUUGCUACUGAUUUUUUUUUUUUUAAAUUUUAAUUAAAAACCGUUUUUCAUUCCAGUCCAGAAGUCUGUGCUGGUCUCAACAUUAACUAUGUAUUAACUGCGCGCGAAAACGUAACCUGCGGAAAAUUUAAAUUUUAAAUCGCGACGCAGCUGAAAAAAGGCAGGAAAGUCCGCUCUUUUCGCAAACUUCCGGUUUCCGAGAAACGAAACCGAAACUAAAAACCAAUCGAAGUACAGUCAGCGUCUCACUGAUUUAUCUUCUGCUAAGGCGAUAAAUUGAACGCGUGCGAGUGGACAUGAUGCCGACCUUUUACUCAUUCUACCAUAAUACAACAACAAAUCUGAGAGUCUACAACAGAAGCCUGAUCGACUUUGGGAGCCUUAUGUUGGUGAAGGAAGACCUGAAGAAGAACGAGAUGCUGGACUCAGUCCUGCAUGCCAACAUAGACCAUGCUGUGAAAGCUCUGAGCCAGGUGCAACCUUCACGCCUACAGGGGGCAACCCUGCUGAUCACUGGGGAGAGCCUGUUGGUGAAGAUCUGCCCACCAUUAGUUAACAAAACGAAAAUGCACUUUUUGGUCACAACAGUGGAUGGAUGGCCUCAGCUGCACCAGCAAGUAGUCUGCAGUGAUAAAAUAUCAUUGCAAGACAUUAAGGAGUCUCACUUCCUAGGUCACAGAUGCCAAGACCAGCAAAAUUCAUGCCUGCAACAAGCUAGGGAGGUGGUGGCCCAGGGACUGACUCCGAAGCAGUUACAAAUUAGGUGUAACAAGUUGUUUCUCACAUACACAACUGCAGAUGAUAAAAAUGCCAUUAACCCAGAUGUUGACAUCAUCACCAUUCAAACAGAAUGCAAGCUCAGACCUUCAUUAUGCGGUUUUGGGGGGCUUUUAGAAGCUAAAAGCUGGUUAGAGCAAGAAAAGUCAAAGAAACAGGGCCUCAUCUCAUGCAUUGAUUACGUUUUAAAGCAAUACGCUGUAUGCAAAUCAGAAAAUUCUUUUAUAUACAAUUUCAUUAUCCAGAGUGAGGGUGAGAUGGCCAGGAUUGAUAACAAAAGUAAGAGAACUUGCUUUGUGUUCUGCAACUCGGAAGGUGUGUCUAUGUUCCCUCCAUGGUCAUGAACGAGGGUCUUAUCAUUCGUCAUUCAGGUGGGUGAAUCUGACUUUACUGUUUCAUUAAAAAUGGUUUUCAUUGUGUAAUACCUGCAGCAUGAAUGCAGAUUAAUUAUGUUCCAAAGACUACACAUAUUAUAACUGCACAAAAUCGAAACGCAAAAUUUGUCAUCUUUGCAAGCUUGAUACGACAAAGAAGUCUGAUUGAGAUACAUUUACUGAAAUAGCAUGAGCAGGGAGACUUUUUGUACAUUGUUACUUCAGAUGCGAAGAAAUAAAAAAAUAAAUCAUAUAAGAAACUCUGAUAUA
rnacentral:lncRNA from 1 species